rnacentral:rRNA from 1 species
GAUGAACGCUGGCGGCGUGCCUAAUACAUGCAAGUCGAGCGAACGGACGAGAAGCUUGCUUCUCUGAUGUUAGCGGCGGACGGGUGAGUAACACGUGGAUAACCUACCUAUAAGACUGGGAUAACUUCGGGAGACCGGAGCUAAUACCGGAUAAUAUUUUGAACCGCAUGGUUCAACAGUGAAAGACGGUCUUGCUGUCACUUAUAGAGGGAUCCGCGCUGCAUUAGCUAGUUGGUAAGGUAACGGCUUACCAAGGCAACGAUGCAUAGCCGACCUGAGAGGGUGAUCGGCCACACUGGAACUGAGACACGGUCCAGACUCCUACGGGAGGCAGCAGUAGGGAAUCUUCCGCAAUGGGCGAAAGCCUGACGGAGCAACGCCGCGUGAGUGAUGAAGGUCUUCGGAUCGUAAAACUCUGUUAUUAGGGAAGAACAGAUGUGUAAGUAACUGUGCACAUCUUGACGGUACCUAAUCAGAAAGCCACGGCUAACUACGUG